ACGAACGCUGGCGGCGUGCUUCACACAUGCCAGUCGAACGGAAAGGCCCUGCUUUUGUGGGGUGCUCGAGUGGCGAACGGGUGAGUAACACGUGAGUAACCUGCCCUUGACUUUGGGAUAACUUCAGGAAACUGGGGCUAAUACCGGAUAGGAGCUCCUGCUGCAUGGUGGGGGUUGAAAGUUUCGGCGGUUGGGGAUGGACUCGCGGCUUAUCAGCUUGUUGGUGGGGUAGUGGCUUACCAAGGCUUUGACGGGUAGCCGGCCUGAGAGGGUGACCGGCCACAUUGGGACUGAGAUACGGCCCAGACUCCUACGGGAGGCAGCAGUGGGGAAUAUUGCACAAUGGGCGGAAGCCUGAUGCAGCAACGCCGCGUGCGGGAUGACGGCCUUCGGGUUGUAAACCGCUUUCGCCUGUGACGAAGCGUGAGUGACGGUAAUGGGUAAAGAAGCACCGGCUAACUACGUG
rnacentral:rRNA from 1 species